rnacentral:rRNA from 1 species
UAUCUCUGUAGAGUCUGCAUAUCAAUAAGCGGAGGAAAAGAAACUAACAAGGAUUCCCUUAGUAACGGCGAGUGAAGCGGGAAGAGCUCAAAUUUGAAAUCUUCAAGGUUUUACCUUGACGAAUUGUAGUUUAAAGAAGUGUUUUCUGUUGAAGUUUCGGUAAAAGUUCUUUGGAAUAGGACAUCAUAGAGGGUGAGAAUCCCGUAUUUGACCGUUAUUUUCAGCUGUGUGAUACACUUUCAAAGAGUCGGAUUGUUUGGGAAUGCAGUCCAAAAUGGGUGGUAAAUUUCAUCUAAAGCUAAAUAUUGGCGAGAGACCGAUAGCGAACAAGUACCGUGAGGGAAAGAUGAAAAGAACUUUGAAAAGAGAGUUAAACAGUACGUGAAAUUGUCAAAAGGGAAGCGUUUGACACCAGUGUUGUUUUCUCGAAAAUCAAUUAAAAAUGGCUUGAUUUUGUGUUGUAUUGACCUUAAAAGCUUUCUGCACUUUUUUCAUGUCUUUUUUAAUGCACUUUUCGUUUAACAAGUCAACAUCAGUUUCUUUUGUUGUAAAAGAGUCAUUGGAAGGUGGCUUUCACUUCGGUGAAAGUGUUUAUAGCCUUUGACUUCUGCAAUCGGAGAGAUUGAGGUCUGCAGCGCAGAUCCUUCGGGGUUAGAUACAUUUGUGCUAAGUUAUAGUUUUUCAUAGACAACAUGUUGACUAUGAUUAAUCAUGUAGCUUACUCGCUUAUGCUAUUUUACCUACGCUUAGGAUGUUGAACGCGCACAGAGUCUC